CAAUAGCGUAUAUUUAAGUUGUUGCAGUUAAAAAGCUCGUAGUUGGAUUUCGGGUGUGAACGACCGGUCCGUCUUUGAUGUGUACUGGUUGGUUGCGCCUUAUUGUCGAGGACGUGGUUCUAGCUUUCAUUAGCCGGGACACGGAGUCGGCAGCGUUACUUUGAGAAAAUUAGAGUGUUCAAAGCAGGCUAUCGCUCUGAAUACUACAGCAUGGAAUAACACGAUAGGACUCCGAGCCUAUUCUGUUGGUCUUCGGGACCGGAGUAAUGAUUAAGAGGGACAGUUGGGGGCAUUCGUAUUCCGAUGUCAGAGGUGAAAUUCUUGGAUUAUCGGAAGACGAACUACUGCGAAAGCAUUUACCAAGGAUGUUUUCAUUAA
rnacentral:rRNA from 1 species